rnacentral:lncRNA from 1 species
GGGGGGGGGGGGGUCAGCCUCAGAAUGGCAUUUUAUUUAUUUAUUUAUGUAUUUAUCAAAGGAAUGGGCCAAAGUUCUAGGUUCUGUUUCUAGGUGCUGUAAUGAAAACCCUAGGAGACUGUCAGAAAAGCUGAAGCUUAGAACUGUUUGGAAUUAUGAUUGAGAUUAGGUAACCUAUAGCUGUCAAUGGAGACACAGAACUGUAGCUUUCCCCUCCCCUCCCCUCCCCUCCCCCAAACUGGCCUUGAGACCAUAACUGGAAGCAAGUACCUCAAGGAGACCUAGUACUCAUGGUCCAGGACUUAGGAUAGGACUAGACGAGCCAUCAGAAUGACUCUUCCUGUGCCCACGGCGGGCACAUCACCAAGCCUUCUGGGACCAUUUAUUUGCCAGCCAAAAACAGACUGAAAUUCUGUAUUCUCUGAAGUGAACAUUCCACGACUGUGACCGAUGCAAAGCUGGACCCCAUGUUGACCCUGGUGCAGGCAAAAGAGCCUCGGUCUGCCAGGGACACUGAAUGACAACAGCACUGUUGUUUGAGACAGUGUCACUCUGUAGCUCAGGCUGGCCUUGAAUUGAUGGCACUUGUCCUUCCUCAGCCUCCCGUGCUGGGAUUAUAGGAAGCACUGUGCCAUCACGCCUGGCGCAUUCAGUCUGCUGUUUGAGAAUCACUGUGCUGUUUGCCAAUUGUCCAACAUACAGCCCAGGAAGUGGAAAGCGUCGUUAACGUGAGCACAAUCAUCAGAAGGGGGGCGGGCUGUGCCCUUGGACUCCAGCCCAUGAGAACAGAAUUACUACAGGACAAAGCACUCUCAUUACAAGGGAUUGUCCUGCUUUUGUACUAAAUAUUUAAAGAAUGACUAGGAUUUUAAAGUAGUUGAAAUUUUGUUGGACAUUGUAUGUCUGUUCUGAGGAUUCCGCCUCUCCCCAGUGCUAAAGCUUACCUUACAACCAGACUUAUUGAGAGAAUUUCUUUUUCCUAACUGAAAGACCUUUGUCUAAUGCGUUUUAUCAUGUACAAUUGUCAUAUUGUCCAAGGGGUGGGGGAGUGUUAAGAAUAAACAAUUUCACUGUG